UACGGGGGGGCAAGCGUUGUUCGGAAUUACUGGGCGUAAAGGGCUCGUAGGCGGCCAACUAAGUCGGAUGUGAAAUCCCCAGGCUCAACCUGGGAACUGCAUCCGAUACUGGAUGGCUUGAAUUCGGGAGAGGGAUGCAGAAUUCCAGGUGUAGCGGUGAAAUGCGUAGAUAUCUGGAGGAAUACCGGUGGCGAAGGCGGCAUCCUGGACCGACAUUGACGCCGAUGAGCGAAAGCUAGGGGAGCAAACGGG
rnacentral:rRNA from 1 species